GGGGUCUGACGCACUCUCUCACAGAAUGCACAUAGGUCUCAUGAGCUUUGUUAGGACUUACUCAUAUCCUGUUGGGGAGAAUAGACUCUCGCUGUGCAGCAUGGCAUCCACUUUGUUUCUGCAUGCACAUCAGAAGAAUUGGCUGUUGCACAGAUGCUGGCUGGAACUGGGAGAGGGAAAGCUAGACAGAAAAUUGUUGCUGGAAUCACUGCAACUCAUCAGUUGUUGGAGAACCAAGAUACAAGGAAAGAUGUACCUUGAUGUACCUUUGCUGGCUGAAUGCUCAGAGAGACUGAAUGAUACUCUUGGCCUCAGAUGUCAUCCCUCUAGAACAGGGUUGCAUCAGACCAACCAUGUGAUGUCUGUACUGUGGCAGAAAUCACUAUAUGAGGCAAGGAAUUUACACUGUGGGGUACUCAAGAAGCUGGCAAGCAUCAUAGCCCAGCCCCUGGCACGGAUCUUCAAGAACUCCUGGUGCUCUGGUGAAGUGCCCAAAGAUUGGAAAAAGGCUAACGUGGUGCCUAUCUUCAAGAAAGGGAGGAAAGUGGAUCCGGUAAACUACAGGCCCAUCAGCCUGACCUCUAUACUGGGCAAGGUCUUAGAAAAGAUUAUCAAAGAGGACACUGUUAACAGACCGGCCAAUGGCAACAUCCUGAGGGAUAGCCAGCACGGGUUUGCCGCAGGUAGGUCUUCUCUGAACAAUCUUAUUUUCUUUUACGACCAGGUGACCUAUCAACUGGACAAGGGAGAAGAUAUUGAUGUCAUAUAUCUCGACUUCAAAAAAGACUUUGAUUUGGUAUCCUAUGAUCACCUCUUAACAAAACCAGCUAACUGCAGCCUCGGCAUUACCACGAUCCUCUGGCUGGGGAAUUGGCUCCAUCGUAGGACCCAGAGGGUGUGGUUGAUGAAAGUCAAUCGCCCCAGUGCCUGGUGACCAGUGGGGUCCCCCCAAGGCUCUGUUCUUGGGCCUAUACUAUCUAACAUUUUCAUUAAUGAUGUGGACAUUAAAGUCAGAAGUGGACUGGCCAAGUUUGCCAAUGACACCAAACUCUGGGGUAAAGUGUCCACAUCUGAAGACAGGAGGGCUAUCCAGGCUGACUGACAGGUUCAGGAAAUGGGCGGAUGAGAACCUGAUGGUAUUUAAUAGCAAAAAAUGCAAGGUUCUCCACCCUGGGAAGAAAAACCUGCAGCAUGCUUAUAGGCUCAGCAGUGCUACACUGGCUAGCACUACCGAAGAAAGAGGCUUGGGGGUCAUGAUUGACCACAAGAUGAAGAUGAG
rnacentral:lncRNA from 1 species